UUCCAUUCAUGAAAGAAACUGUGACAGAUUCUUGGCACACAGGUUGAGUCUGCUCAAAAGGGACAUCAUGCCAUGGAAUAUUCAUCAAAACCUUCCUAAAGAUUGCGGCAAUUUUUGAAAAUUUUCAAAGUCGUGGACUAUGCUAGAGAUAAAAGAUUUGAUGUUCGACAUGAGUCAACCUUUUACCAAACUUCAAAUCAUUUUCUUUCCAUGACAACAAAUCUCGUGCGUUAGAGCUCUCUAGAUAACAAGUCAUUCUCGUCCAUCCAUUUUGCAACUUUAGCCCCUGUUUCCAGUUUAGGGCUUCUACUUAACCAUUUUUAUGAAUUAAUCUAUCUAGUUAUAUACUUUAGUAUUUGUGUAUUUAUUUCAUUGUGAUGAAUACACUAAUCAUUUGCUUUUGUAUAUAGUUUUAUUUUUGCCUUUAAAGGUUUCCUAGCAUUGAAUACUAUUUUGGCUGUGAUGCACAAAAGGACGAAGCUACAAUGGCAGACAGAUUUGAAACAUUCAGUACCGGUAUGAAAUUGUUAUGAGCAGAAGGGAAAAUACCGAGGCAAAUGUGGUACGAAGAAACUUGUGGGUUAAUCUAGGAAGGACUUCCAUCCUUCUUCCAAAUGCAACAUUUGCUUCUAGCUCAAACCGAAAUAUUUGCUUAACCAUACCCCCUUUUCCAUCUCCUACUUAUGCAAUCUCUACACAAGUUCCAUCAACCUGCAACCCCAAUCAAGGUCAUGAUAUAUAAGAAUGCCUAGCAUUAAAGCAUAAGAUUCAGAAUUUAAUUGAUGCUAACAAACUGCGAGUGCACCUACCAGUUGGAAAAAAUAUCUCAAAUGAAAUUAACCAUAACACAAGCAAUACACCAAGCAUGGUUGGGCGUCCGAAGAAGAAAUGUCGUUUUAAUUACACCUUGCACUGUUGGCAUUAUCAUUUUGCAACUAUCAUCAUAUGAAUCGCUAUUUUUGUA
rnacentral:lncRNA from 1 species